AUGUGGCACUCCUGUCUCUCAAUGAGACAGAGGAACCAAAUAAUGCAACCAAUAAGGUUCCAGUCGGUCACAAUACAAUGGACCCUGAUACACAUCCUUGUACCUUUUAGAGCAACUAUAAUAGUGGGCUAUAAGCCCGCUUACAUGACACUUUUGCUUAUGUGGAGGAGAGAUAAGGAAAAAGGGAAGGAGUGGGCGCUCAUGCAAGAGCCAAUAUCUAACCUUAUAGCCAGCCCUAUUAUGGGUUAUGGAAAAGAUUUUUGCAACAUCAAUGGUGUUGCAGAAACCUUUCUUGCAACAUGGAGGAUGUUGCAAGAAAAAGAAUCAUCAUCCCUGCCAUCGCACCAUCGCCCGCGAGCGUCGGAGCUCCUGCCAAGUCGGCUCGCCUUCUCUCCUGCAACCUCGUCGCCAUCCUCCUCUUCGACGAGGUGA
rnacentral:rRNA from 1 species